AAAUUAUAUCAUUUAUGAAGAUGGUGUUGUGUUCAGCAUGGCUGAGGUUAUGGGGCAAGUGAUGUUGCUUUUCCACAAUUUCAGCCUUUGCACGUUGACGGAAGCAAUCUAUGUAGAAAUCCAGUCUGUCCACGCAGAAUCAGUCCACGCAGAAUCCUUUUUUUGUAGUGCUGGUAGUGGGGAUUCUGUGGAUUAGUAUGCUGUUCAGAGGUAUGUUGGAAAUAUUCUUUGANNNNNNNNNNNNNNNNNNNNGGUUAAGGGAAUUACUGUUAUGGCUCCUUGUGGCAUGUAGCAGUUUAGAUAGUUUAGUGUCCUUUUUCCUUUGUAGGAAACUACAAUCCAUCGGUGAUCUUCCAGAAAACACCAUCCUGGCCACUAUGGACGUAGAAGCCCUCUACACCAAUAUUCCGCACAAAGAUGGACUAAAAGCUAUCAGGAACAGUAUCCCCGAUAAUGUUACAGCUAACCUGGUGGCUGAACUUUGUGACUUUGUCCUCACCCACAACUAUUUCACAUUUGGGGACAAUAUAUACCUUCAAGUCAGCAGCACUGCUAUGGGUACCCGCAUGGCCCCACAGUAUGCCAACAUUUUUAUGGCUGACUUAGAACAAUGCUUCCUUAGCUCUCGUCCCCUAACGCCCCUACUCUACUUGCGCUACAUUGAUGACAUAUUCAUCAUCUGGACCCAUGGAAAAGAAGCCCUUGAGGAAUUCCACCAAGAUUUCAAUAAUUUCCAUCCCACCAUCAACCUCAGCCUAGAUCAAUCCACACAAGCGGUCCAUUUCCUGGACACUACUGUGCUAAUAAGCAAUGGUCACAUAAAUACCACCCUAUACCGGAAACCUACUGACCGCUACACUUACCUACAUGCCUCCAGCUUCCAUCCAGGUCACACCACACGAUCCAUUGUCUACAGCCAAGCUCUAAGAUAUGACCGCAUUUGCUCCAAUCCCUCAGAUAGAGGCAAGCACCUACAAGAUCUCUAUCAAGCAUUCUUAAAACUACAAUACCCACCUGCUGAAGUGAAAAAACAGAUUGACAGAGCCAGACGAGUACCCAGAAGUCACCUCCUACAAGACAAGGCCCAACAAAGAAAAUAACAGAACACCACUAGCUGUCACCUUCAGCCCCCAACUAAAACCUCUCCAGCGCAUCAUCAGNNNNNNNNNNNNNNNNNNNNNNNNNNNNNN
rnacentral:lncRNA from 1 species